AGGGAACAAAUACUGAAUCGGCGAACGUCGCUGAUUCGGUCCCGAUUCGUUUCGCCCCUGUUCGGGGAAACGUUAGCGGGCGUUAAGCGGUGUUUCCCGGGCGCCCGACGUUUCAGUUUCAGAUCGCGGGUGCGCUGUGGCCGACAAGACCGGUCGCCGGCGCGGAGCGGCGCUGAGAACGGACGCUGGCGACCUCAGCAACGGGUCGGGAUCGGCCACAAGGAAUCCCUCUCUCAUGGA
rnacentral:sRNA from 1 species